rnacentral:rRNA from 1 species
UACGUAGGGUGCGAGCGUUAUCCGGAAUUAUUGGGCGUAAAGAGCUCGUAGGCGGUCUGUCGCGUCUGCUGUGAAAACCCGAGGCUCAACCUCGGGCCUGCAGUGGGUACGGGCAGACUAGAGUGCGGUAGGGGAGAAUGGAAUUCCUGGUGUAGCGGUGGAAUGCGCAGAUAUCAGGAGGAACACCGAUGGCGAAGGCAGUUCUCUGGGCCGUAACUGACGCUGAGGAGCGAAAGCGUGGGGAGCAAAAGGG